CAUGCAGUCGAACGGAAACGAUAGGUACUUGUAUCUAGGCGUCGAGUGGCGUACGGGUGAGUAACGCGUAGGAACCUACCCAGUAGCGGGGGAUAGCCCAGAGAAAUUUGGAUUAAUACCGCAUAUGCUCUACGGAGCAAAGAUGGCCUCUAUUUAUAAGCUAUCGCUAUUGGAUGGGCCUGCGUUAGAUUAGCUAGUUGGUGGGGUAAAGGCCUACCAAGGCAACGAUCUAUAGCUGGUUUGAGAGGAUGAUCAGCCACAUCGGGACUGAGACACGGCCCGGACUCCUACGGGAGGCAGCAGUGGGGAAUAUUGGACAAUGGGCGCAAGCCUGAUCCAGCAAUGCCGCGUGUGUGAAGAAGGCCUGAGGGUUGUAAAGCACUUUCAAUUGUGAAGAAAGGUUGUUAGUUAAUACCUGACAACUGUGACGUUAACUUUAGAAGAAGCACCGGCUAACUCCGUGCCAGCAGCCGCGGUAAUACGGAGGGUGCAAGCGUUAAUCGGAAUUACUGGGCGUAAAGGGUUCGUAGGCGGUUAUCUAAGUCAGAUGUGAAAUCCCUGGGCUUAACCUAGGAAUGGCAUCUGAAACUGGGUGACUUGAGUUUAAGAGAGGAGUGUGGAAUUUCCGGUGUAGCGGUGAAAUGCAUAGAGAUCGGAAGGAACAUCAGUGGCGAAGGCGGCACUCUGGCUUAAAACUGACGCUGAGGAACGAAAGCGUGGGUAGCAAACAGGAUUAGAUACCCUGGUAGUCCACGCCCUAAACGAUGUCAACUAGCCGUUGGAUCCAUU
rnacentral:rRNA from 1 species